UACGGGGGGGGCAAGCGUUGUUCGGAAUUACUGGGCGUAAAGCGCGCGUAGGCGGCCCUUCAAGUCGAACGUGAAAUCCCCGGGCUCAACCCGGGAACUGCGUCCGAUACUGGAAGGCUUGAGUCCGGGAGAGGGAUGCGGAAUUCCAGGUGUAGCGGUGAAAUGCGUAGAUAUCUGGAGGAACACCGGUGGCGAAGGCGGCAUCCUGGACCGGCAUUGACGCUGAGGCGCGAAAGCUAGGGGAGCAAACAGG
rnacentral:rRNA from 1 species